GUUGCUAUGGUGAAAUGGUAGACACACAGGCUUGAGGGGCCUGCGGCUUGUCCGUCCCGGUUCAAGUCCGGGUAGCAACACC
rnacentral:tRNA from 1 species